rnacentral:rRNA from 1 species
AUACGGAGGAUGCAAGCGUUAUCCGGAUUUAUUGGGUUUAAAGGGUGCGUAGGCGGAUGAUUAAGCGUGAGGUGAAAUGCCACUGCUCAACAGUGGAACUGCCUCGCGAACUGGUGUCUUGAAUGCUCCUGCCGUGGGAGGAAUGUGUGGUGUAGCGGUGAAAUGCAUAGAGAUCACACAGAACACCGAUUGCGAAGGCAUCUCACGAAGGGGUGAUUGACGCUGAGGCACGAAAGCGUGGGGAUCAAACAGGAUUAGAUACCCUGGUAGUCCACGCAGUAAACGAUGAUAACUAACCGCUGGGUCGUAGUGAUUCAGUGGCCAAGCGAAAGCGAUAAGUUAUCCACCUGGGGAGUACGACCGCAAGGUUGAAACUCAAAGGAAUUGACGGGG